rnacentral:misc_RNA from 1 species
GUUUGAAAUUAUUUUACCAUUUGUUUCUCCCAUCUGCAUGCAGUUGUCUGAGGAUGACCAUGCUGAACCUAAGGUUGAUAAGUUAUUCAUUUCCUCUUCAAGACAGGCUGAAGAACCAUCCUGUCCAGAAACCUCUAUUCCAACUUCAAGCUUUUUUUCGGGACGAGCCGGCUUCAUGUCAGAAGGUCGCUGAUAGCUCUCAAUUUCUAUGUUUCCAUGUCUGGGAAUAUAGCCAUCUAGUGUCCUCCUAACACGCCAUCUUGAUCCACAUGCAUUGCAGAGCACUGGUUUUUCAGGUGGACCAUUUCUCCAAAUAAUGGUUUCAAA